UUAAAAAUUCGUCUGUGACCUUCUAGAGUAGAUCAUCAUGAUCCUCAACGCUGCCUCUCUCACUCUGCUCCUCCUGUUUACUCUUUCUGGUUUGGAGGCUCUUGUGCUUACACAGGAGAAAACAAAGUCUGUAAAACUGGGAGAAAACAUUAAGGUCUCCUGCAGAACAGAUGAUUCUACAGACUGGACAUUAACAUGGUACCAACAGAAACCUGGUGAAUCUCCAAAGUUCUUGCUUGCUGACAGCAAGAGGGCGAGUGGACUGCCAAGCCGAUUCACCUACAGUGGAUCCAGAAACCAAGAGUACCUGCAUAUUAACGGAGUUCAGGCUGAAGACGAGGCUGUUUAUUACUGUGCUUGCCAUAGCUGUGGGAGCUUGGCACAGUGCUUUUACGGUGGAGGCACUGAAGUAACUGCUGCUUCACCAGCACCUCCUUCUCUGCUCCUCCUGGCUCCCUCCCAGUCUCCCCCCUCUGGCUCUGAGGUCAGUGUUGUUUGUAUGGCUCAGGGUUUCCGUCCUGACGGUGCUGUCCUGUCCUGGACUGAGGACAGCACCACCAUAGCAGGUCCUGAGGUCCACACGGGUCCGUCCCAGCGCCAGUCUGAUGGCACCUUCAUCCAGAGCAGCGUCCUGAAACUCAGCCCAGAACGCUGGAGCUCUGGACGCUCCUACACCUGCCACCUGACUCACCCCGCCCUGACCAGUCCACUGAGAGAGAGUGUCAGUGUGGGUCAGUGCAGCUAGAGAGCUGCAGAAAUUAACGUGGAAAGCUUAACAGUGAAAUCAAUAUCAGGAACAGAGUAAAUCCAGUAAAGACUGUAUUCAGUUUUAGAGUCUGUCUGUUUUCUUCAUCUUCUCUAGUCUGAGGUUUGUGUUGAUGGCGUCCUCCAGAGGCAGUGGUGCUUAUUUCAUCUGGAGCAGAUUCCUGUACUUGUGUUGCUGAUUUCAUCCUUUUUCCUCAAUAAAAUUACUAUCAAUGACAAA